CACCAUGUUUUGGUAGCUCUCGUGACUUUAAUAGCAACGCCAUAAACGACACUGGGACAGCUCGAUCUUAACGUGGCGACUCCGUUUAUUGCCAAACUGCAACAUACAAUACACACGGCACAACCACCAGAGGGUGCUGCAUGAACCAUUGAGUUAGUCCUUACCAUAACAUAACCGUGUGUUCCUGCACUGUGCCUGACAAUGAAAGGCAAAAAGAAAGACUUCCACGGAAACAACUUGCCCGCUCCAGCUCCUAUACCCAAUACAAACACUUGGGAUGAGAGUUAGCUCAACCCACUACACCUUCAAAGCUACCAGGAAUUAUCUGCUCAUGCUAGCAUUAACACACACACGAUUACUACAAUAAUUAACAACGCACAAUCAGAAACAUCAGAGUGGAUAAAGAUAUAAUUAAUCUCGGAAAAGAAAUGACAUAGACCUCUCCUACAGGGGAAUUAUAGAAAAGGGGAGAGGCCGUAGGGGUACCCCAAAUUUAUAGGGUUGUACCAAAGAAGAAGAAAAGGAUGACGAGGGGCUCUAACUAAUAAUGAAGAUAACUACAGGCUUGCAGGUCCUAAAAGUCAGCUAUACCAGGAACAGUUUGGGGUUUACAAUACAUUUUGUGUAAUAACAAUAUGUGAUUUAUGACCCUGGCUACAAAAAUAUAAGAAACAGAUUAUACAUCUUUUACUGUAAAACAUCCGAGUAAUCAAAGUUUAUCAUCACGUCCACUUCUGCUUCUGAUCACCAAGCCCGCAGCCUCUCAUCCAGUGUCCGCACUGCCCAGCUCCGCUCCUCAGGCCUGAAGACUGUCGGAUUUCACUCUGGACUCAGUUCAGUUUAGCUACAGCUCCCCUGCUGCUCAGAACAGCCAGCAGUCUUGUUAUACAUAAAAUAUAGAAAUUACCUGAUUUGCAAGAGCCUUUAUGACUCAGAGAGUAGAUACAGUCUUAUUUGACACAUCAAAUAUCUUGAUAAAAAUGUUUUUGUUGCAGUUUCUGCUGCCCUCUCAAACACAUCUCUCUUGAAAUGCAUAUGUAAUCACAGGGAGACUUUUUACCUGGAUGGAUAAAUAAAGGAUACACAAAAGUUCGUUGAAGGUCAUUUUAAAAAGAAGGAGCCGGAAAAUAAAUAAUAAUAACUACAAUACUAAUUUUACUUGUAUGGUUAUUUUUUUUCAUCUGUAUUCUCCGUUUGUUACUCAUAGUAAACAGUGAAUUUUGUGUUUAUAUCACUCAGAGGUAACUGCGAGUCCUGGAGAAGAUGCCAUUCUUCAGUGUCAGGGUCCCGGAGAUGUGGAGAUCACCCUGUUGGAGUGGAGCAAACCUGAGCUUAAGUCCGAUGGCUAUGUAUUCUUCUACAGAAACCAGCGCCUAUAUGAAAACUACCAGCACUCGUUCUUUAUAGGCCGAGUGGAGCUGAGAGAUCCAUUAAUGAAAGAUGGAGACUGUUCAGUGAUUCUAAAGAAUGUCAGCAUCAGGGAUGCAGGAACAUAUGAGUGUCGCAUUACAACCAGGAACACCAGAAGAAAUAAGGGCGUCCAAAGUGAGUUCAAGCACUCCAUCAAGCUCACAGUCAAAUCCUCAGGUUUCAUGGACGAAGACACCGAGAAUGGAGAAGAAAAGGUUCGAGAAGAGAAGGUCAGAGUAGAGAAGGAUGGAGGAAAGAGUAAUUGGUAUCUUUCACUGAUAACUGGUGUGCCGAUCACUUUUUUUAUUUUUGCUAUACCUGCUGGUGUAAUUAUCUACAAAAGACUAAAAAAAUGUAUGAAAAGUCCUAAAAAAGCACUAAAUAGCACAUCUGAAUCCUUACCUCUUUCCUCCUGAAUGACUGUGGGUCCUGCUGUUGCACAGCAAUGAAAACAUCUUUGUAAGACUACUAGAGAUCCAUGCUGCAUUAAUCUUGUUUUUGUCCAUUUAUGAGGAUUCAAAUGCUCAGUUUAACCACAAUAAUAAAUAUCUGCACAGGUUACUCUCAGGAAUCAGAUUCUCUUGUCAGGUUAGGAAAGGUAGUAGUGUGGGCAAACUGUCGUUAUGGGUCGUGACCUGUAAAUUAUACAGGUUGUUACGCACAUUAUUGAGUAUUUGAAGAUCUUCACUUUUAUUACCUCUACAGCCAGUCAGCCUGCCCCCUUCACUGACAUCAGUCCAGUUCUGCCAAAAAGGCUAAAGCUUCAGAGUCUGCUGUCAAAGCUGCUACCUCUCAGUUUAUUACAGAGGUCACUGUUGUAGCUCGUCUGCACGGGGCAGUGGUUUACUUCUUCUAAAGUGUUUAAACCCACAUACCACAUUUUAUUAAUCAAUCACUACCAAAAAUAAGUUUAUUUUAGUGAAAUAAAGGUCAGCACAGGUUCAUUAUCAGAGGACAUGUUGCUGAUAUCAAGAGUAAAAAGGACCAGUGCUGUAUGUUUAAACCUGUGAAGCCUUAAUCUGUGUUAUUUUUCUAUGCAAAUAUUUUGUAUUUUUGUAUGUUUUCAAAAUCAUUAGCACGGACACAUCAUUAAUCACAGUGUAAUAUAUAUAUGUAUAUAUCUAAUCACUUUAUUUUUCAGCAACAUGUAAAGUUUCGAGUGUACUUGUCACAUUUAAUGUUCUUUUUAUAAUGGCAUUUUUAAGCAUCACUUUGUCACCUUUUAAUUGAUCUUAACUAUGUAUAUUCUGUUAGUACAAGCUCGAGCUGGACUGGAGUCGUGCUGACAUGUAAUAAAUAAAAACACAAACUAUCAAGAAGA